CCUCUCUCAGGAUGGCACCUGGAGAGUUUCAAGGACUCUACCAGUCUUGACUACGGGAGGGAGAGUCAAGCAGAGGCCCGUCCAUUCCAUUCUUAGCUUGGGCAGUAGCUAGCAAGUGGAAGGCAAUCUGCUACAAGU
rnacentral:snoRNA from 1 species